AUUGCUUCUCGGCCUUUUGGCUAAGAUCAAGUGUAGUAAAUAAUCAGCACUAAAGGAAAGCAGACAUGGCAGAGGGCUAAGAACUAAGAAUCACGUUCUAAUGUAAAUUCUCCUACUUGCUAAUUUGGCAAGUUAUUUACUUUUUUGGGCAACAUUUCUUUGCCAAUAAAAUGACAUGUU
ensembl:snRNA U2 U2 spliceosomal RNA